AUGGCUAGCAGUAGCGUGGCAUCAGCAGCUUGUGGAUUUGUCUUGUCCCUCAAUGUUGCUGCCAACAACACAACCUCCUCACUUUCUUCCAGGACUAACAUGUUGAUGUUUCCUAUAAAAUCCAACAAUAUUGCUAGUUCUAGACUUGUUGUCAGGGCAACCGAAGAUACCGCCGAUGUUGCUACCCCUUUCGCCCUCUGUCAAAACAACUAA